GGUGGGGUAACGGCCUACCAAGCCGAUGAUCCGUAGGGGGCGUGAGAGCGUGGCCCCCCACACUGGCACUGAGACACGGGCCAGACUCCUACGGGAGGCAGCAGUGAGGAAUAUUGCACAAUGGGCGCAAGCCUGAUGCAGCAACGCCGCGUGAGGGACGAAGGCCUUCGGGUUGUAAACCUCUUUUCUGAGGGACGAGGAAGGACGGUACCUCAGGAAUAAGUCUCGGCUAACUACGUGCCAGCAGCCGCGGUAAAACGUAGGAGGCGAGCGUUAUCCGGAUUUACUGGGCGUAAAGCGCGCGCAGGUGGCUUCGUGAGUCGGACAUGAAAGCUCCUGGCUUAACUGGGAGAGGCUGUUCGAUACUGCGGGGCUUGAGGUUGGGAGAGGGACGCGGAAUUCCCGGUGUAGUGGUGGAAUGCGUAGAUAUCGGGAGGAACACCAGUGGCGCAAGCGGCGUCCUGGCCCACACCUGACGCUGAGGUGCGAAAGCGUGGGUAGCAAACAGGAUUAGAUACCCUGGUAGUCCACGCUGUAAACGAUGUCAACUGGGUGUCGGUAGUUUUACACUAUCGGUGCCGAAGCUAACGCG
rnacentral:rRNA from 1 species